rnacentral:rRNA from 1 species
ACAGCAGCCGCCGCGGGAAUACGGAGGGUGCAAGCGUUAAUCGGAAUUACUGGGCGUAAAGCGCACGCAGGCGGUCUGACAAGUCAGAUGUGAAAUCCCCGGGCUUAACCUGGGAACUGCAUUUGAAACUGUCAGGCUGGAGUCUUGUAGAGGGGGGUAGAAUUCCAGGUGUAGCGGUGAAAUGCGUAGAGAUCUGGAGGAAUACCGGUGGCGAAGGCGGCCCCCUGGACAAAGACUGACGCUCAGGUGCGAAAGCGUGGGGAGCAAACAGGAUUAGAUACCCCUGUAGUCCCUGUCUCUUAUAC